rnacentral:rRNA from 1 species
UACGAAGGGGGCGAGCGUUGUUCGGAUUUACUGGGCGUAAAGGGCGCGCAGGCGGUCUUGAAAGUCAGGCGUGAAAGCCCCGGGCUUAACCUGGGAAUUGCGCUUGAUACUCUGAGACUGGAGUACGGGAGAGGAGAGUGGAAUUCCCGGUGUAUCGGUGAAAUGCGUAGAUAUCGGGAGGAACACCUGUGGCGAAAGCGGCUCACUGGACCACAACUGACGCUGAGGCGCGAAAGCUAGGGGAGCAAACAGG